GUGAAUCAUCGAAUCUUUGAACGCACCUUGCGCUCCUUGGCAUUCCGAGGAGCAUGCCUGUUUGAGCGUCAUUGAAUUCUCAGAAUCCUAUGAGGGCAGUGGCCUUUGACUGCUGUCCUUCAUGUGGGUUGUGGAUGGUGGAGGAUGCAAUGCUGUCCCAAUCUCCUAAAGACGGGGGUUGCCUUUGCUUCUCUGAAAUGUACUGGCAGUGCCAUCGGUAUGAUACCCACGUCUCUACCGUGCAGCCAGGUUGCAGAUUCUCUCAUGAUUUGACCUCAAAUCAGGCAGGACUACCCGCUGAACUUAAGCAUAUCAAUAAGCGGAGGA
rnacentral:misc_RNA from 1 species